rnacentral:snRNA from 1 species
AAACUUACCUUACACAGGAGAUAUCGUGAUCAACAAGGCGGUUCUCCCAGAACGAGAUCCAACCAUUGCACUUUGGGUGGAUUGGCUUCUGCGUUUACCCCAAAUGUGGGUAAAUAGGGUGUACAUUUUCUGAUAGUGGGGUAACUGCGUUCGCGCUUUUCCCUG